GAAAGCAGGGGAUCGCAAGACCUUGCGCUUUUGGAGUGGCCGAUGCCUGAUUAGCUAGUUGGUGGGGUAAUGGCCUACCAAGGCGACGAUCAGUAGUUGGUCUGAGAGGACGACCAGCCACACUGGGACUGAGACACGGCCCAGACUCCUACGGGAGGCAGCAGUGGGGAAUUUUGGACAAUGGGCGAAAGCCUGAUCCAGCAAUGCCGCGUGAGUGAAGAAGGCCUUCGGGUUGUAAAGCUCUUUCAGUCGAGAAGAAAAGGUUGUGACUAAUAAUCACAACUCAUGACGGUAUCGACAGAAGAAGCACCGGCUAACUACGUGCCAGCAGCCGCGGUAAUACGUAGGGUGCGAGCGUUAAUCGGAAUUACUGGGCGUAAAGGGUGCGCAGGCGGCUCUGUAAGUCAG
rnacentral:rRNA from 1 species